rnacentral:tRNA from 1 species
UAGACAGAAGUCCGCUGGAUUGGGUGUUUAGCUGUUAACUAAAUUAUUUGCGGGAUCGAGGCCCGUUUGUCUAG